rnacentral:lncRNA from 1 species
CAGGAGCCAAACACUCACCAGGAGGACAAAGGGAGGAGGAGGUGGACCUCGCAAGAGAUGGGCCCAGAGGGACUACUCUGCAGGAGCUAUGUACUGCGGGAGGGCUAGGAGGGGCAGACAAAGGAGGUCGGAGCUGAGAAAAAAACAGGCAACAGGCUGACCAGUGACCCAGUAAGAUCUGAGGGUGGCCCCUUCUCCAGAGGAUUCCAGCACUGAGAGGCUACAAAACGUCAGAGACCAGAGACCACUAGGAAAACACGGUGCUGAGGAAAUAUCAUCAUAUCUCCCCUCAACCAAUAUCCUAAAUCCUUUCUACAGUUCUCUGCCUUAUAAGCCUUCCUCCCCUUUUCAUGUACCUUCUUUUGAUUAUUUUGGAGACCUCUGGCAGACCCCUAAGGUUUCAUUUAAUUGCUCUGAAUUUGCAAGGAGCAGCUUCAUUUCCAUUUCACACUUGGUUACCGUGUGGCCUGUGCACACGCAAGCCGCGCGAUCCGGGAAUGGAAGCCUGCAGCCUAGGUGACUGUCCAGCAUGGGAGCCAUUGGUGGCAGGAA